GACGAACGCUGGCGGCGUGCCUAAUACAUGCAAGUAGAACGCACAGUUUAUACCGUAGCUUGCUACACCAUAGACUGUGAGUUGCGAACGGGUGAGUAACGCGUAGGUAACCUGCCUGGUAGCGGGGGAUAACUAUUGGAAACGAUAGCUAAUACCGCAUAAUAUUAAUUAUUGCAUGAUAAUUAAUUGAAAGGUGCAAUUGCACCACUACCAGAUGGACCUGCGUUGUAUUAGCUAGUAGGUGAGGUAACGGCUCACCUAGGCGACGAUACAUAGCCGACCUGAGAGGGGGGUCGGCCAACCUGGGACUGGGACACGGCCCAGACUCCUACGGGAGGCAGCAGUAGGGAAUCGUCGGCAAUGGACGAAAGGCUGACCGAGCAACGCCGCGUGAGGGAAGAAGGGUGUCGGAUCGUAAAGCUCUGUUGUAAGAGAAGAACGGGUGUGAGAGUGGAAAGUUCACACUGUGACGGUAUCUUACCAGAAAGGGACGGCUAACUACGUG
rnacentral:rRNA from 1 species